GAGAUUUGAAAAGGCCGCGCGGCGGCCGCGGCAACCGCCGCCGCCGCCUCACUCGGGCCGGUAGGAGGCUGCCCAGGGCCCGAGGUGUGGCGCCUUCGAAGUUGAAAGGCGGAGGAUGGGGGAGGAAGAAACCCCGGUUUUCCCUCCCUCCAGCGAGAGGCUUUUACAAAAGGUCGACUGGUUUAUCAUCUCCUACAGCGGCGGAGCAACUGGCAGUUGGAUGUUUCGCCCUGCAAAUUCAAGCCACGGAUUUUGCAGGUUUGCAUCCAGCUGUAUGAUACUCUGCUGUGCAAAUCCAUGCAAAACUGACUGUGGCAGUGAAAAGGCAAGAAAGUAUACUAAUUUGUACCCCUUUCUACACAGGUUGGGAUCGGUUGCAAUGCUGUAUUAAAUCUGUGGUAUUGCACUUGUCCCGGCCUGUUGAGGUUGGUGGGGCAAGAAUCUGCACACAACUUAAGGUCCCUUCUCAGUUAAUUGUUUGGGAGCAGCAAUUGCACUGGUGUAGUGAUCAAUGUAAUUCUUUGCAUCUAAAAUAAUUUUGAUUAAAUGGCACAAUGAUACUGUAAGUACUUUUUCUUCCACUGU